GCCUUUGUGGUGUAGUGGUCAGCAUGCUCGUCCCAUGUUCGAGAGAUCUGUGGUUUAAGUCCCGGUUGGGGCA
rnacentral:tRNA from 1 species